rnacentral:rRNA from 1 species
UGAUCCAGAGUACCACGGGACACGUGAAACCCUGUGGGAAGCAGGAGGGACCACCCUCCAAGGCUAAAUACUACCUAGUGACCGAUAGCGUAUAGUACCGUGAGGGAAAGGUGAAAAGAACCCCGGGAGGGGAGUGAAAUAGAACCUGAAACCCUGCACUUACAAGCUGUGGAAGCACAUUUCUUGUGUGACCGCGUACUUUUUGUAGAACGGGCCAACGAGUUACGUUAAGUAG